UGUCCGGAUUAUUGGGCGUAAAGAGCUUGUAGGCGGUUUGUCGCGUCUGCUGUGAAAGGCCGGAGCUUAACUCCGUGUAUUGCAGUGGGUACGGGCAGACUAGAGUGCAGUAGGGGAGACUGGAAUUCCUGGUGUAGCGGUGGAAUGCGCAGAUAUCAGGAGGAACACCGAUGGCGAAGGCAGGUCUCUGGGCUGUAACUGACGCUGAGAAGCGAAAGCAUGGGGAGCGAACAGGAUUAGAUACCCUGGUAGUCCAUGCCGUAAACGUUGGGCACUAGGUGUGGGGAACAUUCCACGUUUUCCGCGCCGUAGCUAACGCAUUAAGUGCCCCGCCUGGGGAGUACGGCCGCAAGGCUAAAACUCAAAGAAAUUGACGGGGGCCCGCACAAGCGGCGGAGCAUGCGGAUUAAUUCGAUGCAACGCGAAGAACCUUACCAAGGCUUGACAUAUACUGGACCGCAUCAGAGAUGGUGUUUCCCUUCGGGGCUGGUAUACAGGUGGUGCAUGGUUGUCGUCAGCUCGUGUCGUGAGAAG
rnacentral:rRNA from 1 species